UUGACGACGGCGAUGCGCUAGUAUGGCGCUAGUUUCAUUCCGAAAUUCGUUCGAAAAAGUGACGAGAUACUAAGCUACAUGGUUUUGACGUUCUUGCGUGCAUCACCGGACGAACUGGCGAAGUGGAUAGUUGAGUCUGGUUAAGGCUUGGGCCACAACCUUGGUCGCGACGUUCGCAGUAUCGUUGCAAUAAGUGUGGAAUGUCAAACACAAUGGACGGCGCACGGACGACGUCGUGUUGUGCAUCAACCAUCAAGUAUAACUGAGUGUCGACGUGAACAUUAUGCGAUAAGAUUUUUUAUCCUGUGGGGAAAUAAAGACCCUCUGAACUCUUCUGCUGAACCUUCAAGGGUAACGGGUCAUUUCUAAGCCUCCAUGAAAUCCAACAAAUUGGACUUGAUGCGGUCAAGAGAGACCAGUGCCAUAUCACUGUUUCUUAUUGUGAGGAAGAUCAGCUUGUGCUAGCUCUGCAGCUAUGUUGUGGAGAGCUGCGUCAACGUGACAACACACUUAUGGACACA